UGUGUGUGUGGACCUCUCAAUCAAACUAUUUCAGGAAACAAUACAUUGUUUUGAAGAAUUAUGAACUACUUAAUAUCAUUUAUCUAUAUACAUAAAUUGUGAAGCUAGAAAUAGUAAGACAAAUGCAAAGUGACCUACCCUUUUUCUGUUUUCCCCCCCUUAAUCUGAGAUAGCAAGUCUUAAAUAAUGUCACUUUUAUCAUUAAUUUUUAUUUGAUAUCAUAUAAUUUUUUCCAAAAUCAUACUUGACAUAGCGAUAUGACCUUCGUUAUAAAAAAUAUUAAUUAUAACUGGAUUUAGCACGAUUAUGUAUUGCUAGUUUUGGCC
rnacentral:lncRNA from 1 species